CCUACGGGGGGCAGCAGUGGGGAAUAUUGGACAAUGGGGGCAACCCUGAUCCAGCCAUGCCGCGUGUGUGAAGAAGGCCCUCGGGUUGUAAAGCACUUUCAGUGAGGAAGAACGCCUGGUGGUUAAUACCCAUCAGGAAAGACAUCACUCACAGAAGAAGCACCGGCUAACUCCGUGCCAGCAGCCGCGGUAAUACGGAGGGUGCGAGCGUUAAUCGGAAUUACUGGGCGUAAAGCGCGCGUAGGUGGCUUGAUAAGCCGGUUGUGACAGCCCCGGGCUCAACCUGGGAACGGCAUCCGGAACUGUCAAGCUAGAGUGCAGGAGAGGAAGGUAGAAUUCCCGGUGUAGCGGUGAAAUGCGUAGAGAUAGGGAGGAAUACCAGUGGCGAAGGCGGCCUUCUGGACUGACACUGACACUGAGGUGCGAAAGCGUGGGUAGCAAACAGGAUUAGAUACCCCUGUAGUC
rnacentral:rRNA from 1 species